GCGGGGGUUGCCGAGCAUGGCCAAAGGCGCCGGACUUAAGAUCCGGUUUCGAAGGAAUACGUGGGUUCAAAUCCCAUCCCCCGCA
rnacentral:tRNA from 2 species